GAUGAACGCUGGCGGCGUGCCUAAUACAUGCAAGUCGAGCGAACAGACGAGGAGCUUGCUCCUCUGACGUUAGCGGCGGACGGGUGAGUAACACGUGGAUAACCUACCUAUAAGACUGGGAUAACUUCGGGAAACCGGAGCUAAUACCGGAUAAUAUAUUGAACCGCAUGGUUCAAUAGUGAAAGACGGUUUUGCUGUCACUUAUAGAUGGAUCCGCGCCGCAUUAGCUAGUUGGUAAGGUAACGGCUUACCAAGGCAACGAUGCGUAGCCGACCUGAGAGGGGGGAGCGCCAACGCGGAAACGGAGACGGGGUCCAGCCCCCACGGGGAGGCAGAAGUGGGGAAUUUGCCGAAAGGGGCGAAGGCGUGAGGGACCACCGCGGGGGGGGUAAUGAGGUUUUUGGGAUGGAAAACCUUUGUUUUUGGGAAAAAACAAAGGUGAAAGAAACUAGCCCCUUCUGGACGGACCUAAAUAAAAAGGCCCCGACAAACUCCG
rnacentral:rRNA from 1 species